rnacentral:tRNA from 1 species
GGGGCUGUAGCUCAGUGGUAGAGUGCCCUCCUUUCAUGUUCGAGGCUCUGGGUUCGAUCCCCAGCACCA